rnacentral:rRNA from 1 species
UACGUAGGGUGCAAGCGUUUAAUCGGAAUUACUGGGCGUAAAGCGUGCGCAGGCGGUUUUGUAAGUCUGUCGUGAAAUCCCCGGGCUCAACCUGGGAAUUGCGAUGGAGACUGCAAGGCUAGAAUCUGGCAGAGGGGGGUAGAAUUCCACGUGUAGCAGUGAAAUGCGUAGAGAUGUGGAGGAACACCGAUGGCGAAGGCAGCCCCCUGGGUCAAGAUUGACGCUCAUGCACGAAAGGCGUGGGGAGCAAAC